CAACGGUAAUACGCAUAGUAUCACGAAAACUCUGUUGCAUCUCAGUCAUCAUCCUCCGAAAUUCAUCGUUGUGUUCGUCAAGCUGGGUUUGAAGAGUCUUCUUUGGAGGCAUGAUUAGGAUCUUUGGCUCUGAUACCAACUAAUGCCGCGGAUAAAUACGAAUAUGAUCUUUGGAUAUCAAUGGAUUCUCAAAGACAACUCGUAGCUCGGAGAUCUCAGCUUUGUGUAUCAAUGGAUCACGAAACAGAGAUAUCAAAGACUUCUUUGAGAAAAGCUUUCUCUUUAUUAAUAUUCAAAAACAACCAGUUCUCUCCUUACAAAUAAGAGGAGUAUUUAUAAGACUCAAAGAAACGUAAAAACCCUAGUCGGAGCUUGACGUCCAAGCAAAACCUUAAACCGACUUAAUUAUAAAUCCCAUAACAAAUAAUAAAGCCCAACAAGAAUAAAAAAUAAAGAUAGAGUAAGGCUUGAUAAGAGAACAGAAAGAUGUCGCUACAUCACUUGUCUUGGUGGAUGUUUCAAACUAUCAAUCAUGUAAUGGGAAAGAGAAAAAAGAAGCAGAGAGUUAUUCUUUCGGUGUUGAAUUUCUGAGAGCGCGGAAGGAUAAUUCCACCGCGCUGCGCUAAUAAACAUCUCCAUCUUUAUAUGUCUAAGUUUCUGAUGGAGUGAAAGUAAUGUAAUUUAUAAAACAAAUACGAGAUGAAGAUAUUAAACUGAUUUUGCUUCUUCUCUACCGUUCGAAGCUCCUUAGAAUGCUCUCUCCAUUUUCAGAAAGGAAAAGAGUUCAGCGUUUCGUAUCUUUCAUAUUCAUGACGACUCACUAUAUCAAAAUACUUAUGCAAGAAAUCGAUAUAACUUGUGAUGUAGCGUCAUCUCGUUACGUGUUUCACAAGUCGUAUCGUUUUAGAAGUUUUCCUUUAUGUUUGAAUUUUCCUUUUAUGUUUAAUUUCUAUUUCUUUGAGCUCUGCAAUUAGGUCUUAGAGUGUUUCUUAUGACGGUUUAUUGACACCUAUAUAAAGCUUUGUAAUCUCUCUUAAGAGAGUUGGUUUUUAUUGAAUAAGAAAAGAGGUUUCCCUCACAUUGAAGUCUUCGAAUUCUCUCUGUUUUACAAAGAAUUCAAAGCACAAAACCUUGUUUCAAGAUCCAUUGAUCCUUGAAACCUUGUUUUGCUAUUUUACCGCUGCAUUAGUUGGUAUCAGAGACAAACGAAUCCUAGUCAUGCCGCCAAAGAAGAGCCUUCAAGCGACACUAGAGGAGCACAACGAUGCGUUUAGAUUGAUGAUGACUGAGUUUCAGCAGAGUUUGAGUGAUACUUUGCGUACUACCAUGGAAUCUGCCGUGAGAACUCUUGCUCAAGGUCAACAAAACGCAGCUCCGGUGUUACCACGUCAAGAAGAACCAGUGCCGGCCCGGUAAAUUUGGGUGCCCUAAGCAAAAUUAAAGUCAUAAAAAAAAAAUUCUUUUAAAUUAGAUUUUUACCAUUAAAAAGAAUGUUGUAGUUGUCUCUAAAAGCCAACAAUAUUUUUAAAAGGCCCUACAAAAAAUAUUGUAUAUAAGAAAACUUAACAAAUUUUUAGGUAAAAAGGCUCUCAAAUUUUGAGGCCCUAAUCGGUGGCUUCGGUGGCUUGCCCUCUGGGCCGGCCCUGAGAAGAACCACUCUUUGACGACGACGAUGAAGAGGAAGAUAACGUCUUUGUCAAUCACUUUGCACCGUUGGGUGAACAGAAUCAACGUGGUGCUCGCCAACAGCGUGACAUCAUCGCAGUCCCACAAGGGGAUAAUAGAAGAUGGGAGUCGGGUUUUAAGCUUGAAUUACCAGAGUUUACGGGUGGGCUUCAAUCUGAAGACUUCCUUGAUUGGAUUAACAUAACAGAGGAGCUGUUGGAAUUCAAAGAAGUCCCUGAUCAUAUGCGUGUGUCUCUGGUGGCAACGCGUUUUCGAGGUCGAGCUUCAGCGUGGUGGCAGCAAUUGAAAGCUUCUCGUGCUCAAGCAGGGAAGGAAAAGCUCGUAUCAUGGGAAAAAUUGAAGAAAUUAAUGAGAAAAGCUUUUUUGCCUUACAAUUACACUCGUACCUUGUACACGAAAUUACAGAAUUUAAGACAAGGGAGUAAAUCUGUGGAUGAAUAUGCUGCAGAUUUUUUUUCAUUAAUGGCACGUAAUUCAUUGACGGAGAAUGAAGAACAAAGGGUGUCACGUUUUAUCGGAGGAUUACGGUCGCAAAUUCAAAGCACUUUACUUCAGUUUGAUCCUCUUACUGUUUCGGAAGCUCAUCAACGUGCCCUCUUGAUUGAACAGAACUCACGAAGUCAAACAAAUACGUGGAAUGCUCAGCGUGCUCGCUUAUCAUCGACAACAGAAUCUGGUCUUGUUAAGUGAUUGGAGCAAUCAAAAAUUUCAGAUGCUUUGGAAGGAAAUUCGUCUUUGGGACAUCAAAAACCUGCAACUUUCAAGUGUUUUAAAUGUGGCGAAACAGGGCAUCGCCAAUCUAACUGCCCCAAUAUUCAACGCCGCGGGUUGUUAGCAGCAGAUGAACCCAUAUUUGAUCAAUAUGAUGAUGAUACAGAGGUGGCUGAUGAGUGUGAAGAGAAAGUGGUGGGAGAUUCGGGUACCUUGUUAGUGCUUCGCAUGAAUUAUCUUAUUCCACAUGGAAUUGAAGAAUCUUGGCUUCGAUCAAAUAUUUUUCAAUCAACUUGUACGAUACGUGGUAAAGUUUGUCGUUUGGUUAUUGACUCGGGCAGCUGCACGAAUGCUAUUUCAGAGGAAGCUGUCACCAAACUAGCCUUGUUUACCGAACCACACCCAUCUCCUUACAAGAUUGCUUGGCUCACCUCAUCUACGGAUAUACGCAUUUCAAGACGUUGUCGGGUUUGUUGUGAUGUCGUGCCUAUGGACGCGUGUCAUAUUCUUUUAGGACGCCAAUGGCAGUAUGAUCGAAGAACUAUGCACGAUGGGUUUGCAAACACACAUAGUUUUCUUUAUGAGGGUAAGCGUAUCACUUUAUUACCAUCUCAGACUGCUUCAGAGCCGCUAGUCAUAAGUAAACCUGUUGAGUCUUCUCCGCUCCCAAUUGAAACUACAAAACCAGCGUUGUUAGUUUCCAAGUCGCAGAUUUUUGAAGAAUUUCAAACAACAGACAUAGUCUUUUUUCUGCUUCUCAAGCCGCAGAUUUUGUCCUUAAUUUCAUACGCACCAACAGAUUUUCAUGGAGUUUUGACUGAAUUUCAAGACGUGUUUCCUGAUGAAUUACCAGAGGGUCUACCACCAUUAAGAGGUAUUCAACAUUGUAUCGAUCUAGCCUCUAACACGGUGUUGCCAAAUCGACCACAUUACCGUAUGAGCCCUAAAGAACACGAUGAACUGCGGAAACAAGUUGAAGAUCUUUUGGCUAAGGGAUAUAUUCGUGAGAGCUUAAGUCCUUGUGGAGUUCCCGCUUUGCUUAUCCCCAAGAAGGAUGGAUCUUGGCGUAUGUGUGUAGACAGCAGAGCGAUUAACAAAAUUACUAUUCGCUACAGAUUUCCUAUCCCGCGUCUAGAUGAUCUCUUAGACCAAAUUGGAGCAACCUCUAUUUUUACAAAAUUAGAUCUUCGUAGCGGUUAUCAUCAGAUCCGAAUCAGACCGGGUGACGAGUGGAAAACAGCCUUUAAAACGCGAGAAGGAUUGUUUGAGUGGCUUGUAAUGCCUUUUGGGUUAUCGAACGCUCCAAGUACGUUCAUGCGAGUGAUGAAUGAAGCUUUGCGGCCAUUUAUUGGACGUUUUGUAGUUGUUUAUUUCGAUGAUAUACUCAUCUUUAGUGCAUCUCUGACCGAACAUCUCACUCACCUACGUGACGUUUUACUUGUGUUGCGACGAGAGAAGUUGUUUGCUGCUACAAAAAAGUGUGUGUUUGGUGUUGAACAAGUGCUUUUUUUGGGCUACAUUAUCUCUUCACGAGGCUUAGAAGCGGAUCCAACAAAGAUUUCAGCUAUACAAUCAUGGCCUACUCCUCGGACAGUGACUGAUGUGCGUAGUUUCCAUGGGCUAGCUUUAUCACUUUAGCAGCAUCAUGGCACCGGUAACAGACUGUAUGAAGUCAGACUCUUUUUGUUGGACCAAGGAAGCAGAGAUGGCGUUUCAAGAAAUCAAAACAAAGCUAACCUCUGCCCCGGUUCUUAUCCUUCCCGAUUUCAAUAUUGCUUUUGAAUUACACUGUGAUGCGUCUAAAGCAGGAAUCGGAGCAGUCUUAAGUCAAUCAAGUCGUCCAGUUGCUUUUUUUAGUGAAAAAAUUGCAGGAUCUCGUGAACGGUAUAGUACUUACGAUGUCGAGCUUUAUGCCGUCGUACAAGCUGUUAAGCAUUGGCGUCACUACCUCUUUCAUCGCGAAUUUGUUCUCUACACCGAUCAUGACGCUCUUAAACACAUGGGCUCUCAAGAUAAAGUCUCCGCAAGACAUGCUUCUUGGUUUGCAUAUUUACAACAAUUCUCUUUUGUUAUUAAGCAUACUGCUGGUACACUUAACAAGGUUGCUGAUGCGUUGAGUAGAAGACAUGUUCUGUUAACAACCUUACACGUCUCCGUCCCUGGACUUGUACCCAACUGAUCCAUUUUUUGGCAAAAUUUGGAGAGAUACUGAGCUGGGAAUCGGUACUGUUUAUGUGAUUUAUGAUGGCUUUUUGUUUCGUGGUGCUCAAUUAUGCAUUCCUGAGUGUAGUUUGAGGCUACAUCUAAUUCGUGAGCUUCAUGGUGAAGGCCACAUCGGAAGAGAUCGUACGUUGAAAUUGGUUAGUUCUUCUUACUUUUGGCCCACGUUACGCCGAGAUGUAGAACGGUUUAUUGUGCGUUGUGGAAUUUGUCAAGCAGCUAAGGGGAAAGCAACCAAUUCUGGUUUAUAUCUUCCUCUCCCAAUUCCCACACAGCCGUGGACAGACGUGAGUAUGGAUUUUGUGCUUGGUUUACCUAGAACGCAAAAAGGUAAUGACUCGAUCUUUGUCGUCGUUGAUCGUUUCUCCAAGAUGGUGCAUUUUAUUCCUUGUAAGAAGACGACAGAUGCAAUGCAAGUAGCUGUUUUGUUUUUUCGCGAGGUUUAUAAGCUUCACGGCUUGCCUUUGUCUAUUGUUUCGGAUCGAGACUCGCGCUUUUUGAGUCACUUUUGGCGAUCUCUUUGGCGACUUUUGCGCACAAAACUAGACAUGAGUUCAGCCUAUCACCCCCAAACGGAUGGCCAAACUGAAGUUACUAACAGAGCUUUAGGCGAUUUGUUGAGAUGCUUAGUUGGAGAUCAUAUCAAAUCAUGGGAUUUGGUACUUUGUCAGGCUGAAUUUGCUCAUAACCGAGCUGUUAACCGUAGUACAGGUUUUAGUCCUUUUCAAGUGGUUUGUGGCUAUUUACCUCGUUGUCCUGCGGAUCUAGCUAUUAGUCCAGAUCGUACCCGUUUUCAUGGUCGAGCUUGUGAUUUUGUCGAAGAAUUUGCUGCAAUUCAUGAUCAAGUUCAUUCUAAUUUGGAAACAGCCACAACAAAGUAUAAAUCUGCAGUUGAUUUGCAUCGACGUGACGUUCAAUUCAAGGUUGGAGAUCUAGUGUGGGCUGUGCUAACCAAGGAUCGUUUCAAGGCAGGAACUUACAACAAGCUCAAAGCAAGAAAGAUCGGCCCUCUUGAGAUAUUGGAGAAGAUUAAUAACAAUGCAUAUCGCCUCAAGCUUCCUCCACACAUGAACACAGCCGACGUCUUUAAUGUUAAGCAUUUGGUCCCAUUUAUUGCUGAAGAUGAUGCUGAUGAUAGUCAAAAUUCGGGGUCGAAUUUUCUUCUCACUCCGGGAGACCUGAUGUAGCGUCAUCUCGUUACGUGUUUCACAAGUCGUAUCGUUUUAGAAGUUUUCCUUUAUGUUUGAAUUUUUCUUUUAUGUUUAAUUUCUAUUUCUUUGAGCUCUGCAAUUAGGUCUUAGAGUGUUUCUUAUGACGGUUUAUUGACACCUAUAUAAAGCUUUGUAAUCUCUCUUAAGAGAGUUGGUUUUUAUUGAAUAAGAAAAGAGGUUUCCCUCACAUUGAAGUCUUCGAAUUCUCUCUGUUUUACAAAGAAUUCAAAGCACAAAACCUUGUUUCAAGAUCCAUUGAUCCUUGAAACCUUGUUUUGCUAUCUUACCGCUGCAUUAACUUGUGUGUUUUGUAGUUGUAAGUAGCAAGUUGUAGAUGCAAGCCGUAGACAAGUUGGAGAAAGAUGAGGCCUUGAAAACAUUUCCAACUUUUAUUUUAGUAUGGGGGGUGGACCAGACCCAAUAAGGAAACUCUGAAAGCAGUACAAUAAUCACACAGACUUGGAAAAUGAAAAGGAUGUUUCUAUUCAGAGGCGGAGAAGGCAACGAAUAGCUUUGCCUUGGUGAAGCAGCUGCAUGGCUUUGUUGAUAUCGUGGAAUGGAAGCUGGUGAGAGAUGAAGAGAUCGAGAUUGAGAAGACCUUGGAGGCAUUGGGUGAUGAGAAAGGGUAAUUGGGUUUUGGGUUUGAAGCCUCCGAAAACAGAGGCGGUGAUGGAUCUGCCUUGGAAGAGCUCCAUGGGAUGGAUAGGAAGAAGUUGUGGGCUUGCGUGAACGCCCAGCAACACUGUCACUCCCACUCCUGAGUUAGUAGACAGAAAGGCUUCUCUAAGUGCUUCUAUGCUUCCCGCACACUCAAAGCUGCACUCCACUCCUCCCUCUGUUAUCUCCCUUACUCUCUCAUGAACUGCCUUGUCACUCUCCUUUGGAUUUAUGAAUUCACUGAUCCCUGCUUCUCUGCCUGUUCACACAGCAAGCACACUUCGUUUAGGAACAUUUCUCUUUAACCUCUUUUAGACUGACAUGCAUGUUCAUCUCCAUACCUAAUGGGAACUUGUCAGGGUUGACGUCGAUCCCAAUGAUUUUAGAGGCUCCCCUGACUCUUGCACCUUCAGCCACCUUUUCCCCAAUUAUUAACAAGGCAUUAAGAGUGAGAGUCUAUGUGUAACCAAUUCCAUGGUGAUACAACGAAGAGGAACCUGAACUUACGGCAAGUCCAACAGCGCCAAGUCCAAAUAUAGCGACGGUGGAGCCAGGUUGAAUAUCAGCCACAUUCCAUGCCGCACCGACUCCUUCAUUCCAUAAACACUUAUCUCUUUCAUUAAAUAAGCAAACCACAUAUAUCAUGCAUGUCAUAUAUACAGUAUACAGAGAUGCAAUUAACUAAUUACCAGUGGAGACACCGCAGCUGAGGAGGCUUAUCUUCUCCAGAGGAAACAGAGGGUUCACCUUGAGCACGCAAGCCGAGUCUAUGACCGUGUACUCGGAGAAGGUGGAUGUGUUGAGAAAAUGGUAGAUGGGUUUGUUGUCUUUGCUUGUGAAGAAUUUGGUCUUUCCAUCAAUUACCAUCACCUUCUUCAUCGGAUCUACUCGGAAUCUCUCGCACAGAUUGGCUUCGUCUUGCUUGCAGACUCUGCAAUCUCCACACUCUCCUGUGAAAAUAGGGAGCACAUGAUCUCCUGCCUUCAUCUCUUCCACUCCUUCCCCUACGCUCUCCACUAUUCUGUAAUUUAUCCAUCAAUUGAGGGAUGAAAAAUGAGAUCCAUACAGAUUUUAUUCGACUUACCCUGCCGCCUCAUGGCCAAGGAUUCGAGGGUUUAGGGUUUAGGGUUUAGGGUUUAGGGUUUAGGGUUUAGGGUUUAGGGUUUAGGGUUUAGGGUUUAGGGUUUAGGGUUUAGGGUUUAGGGUUUAGGACGCCAAUGGCAGUAUGAUCGAAGAACUAUGCACGAUGGGUUUGCAAACACACAUAGUUUUCUUUAUGAGGGUAAGCGUAUCACUUUAUUACCAUCUCAGACUGCUUCAGAGCCGCUAGUCAUAAGUAAACCUGUUGAGUCUUCUCCGCUCCCAAUUGAAACUACAAAACCAGCGUUGUUAGUUUCCAAGUCGCAGAUUUUUGAAGAAUUUCAAACAACAGACAUAGUCUUUUUUCUGCUUCUCAAGCCGCAGAUUUUGUCCUUAAUUUCAUACGCACCAACAGAUUUUUAUGGAGUUUUGACUGAAUUUCAAGACGUGUUUCCUGAUGAAUUACCAGAGGGUCUACCACCAUUAAGAGGUAUUCAACAUUGUAUCGAUCUAGCCUCUAACACGGUGUUGCCAAAUCGACCACAUUACCGUAUGAGCCCUAAAGAACACGAUGAACUGCGGAAACAAGUUGAAGAUCUUUUGGCUAAGGGAUAUAUUCGUGAGAGCUUAAGUCCUUGUGGAGUUCCCGCUUUGCUUAUCCCCAAGAAGGAUGGAUCUUGGCGUAUGUGUGUAGACAGCAGAGCGAUUAACAAAAUUACUAUUCGCUACAGAUUUCCUAUCCCGCGUCUAGAUGAUCUCUUAGACCAAAUUGGAGCAACCUCUAUUUUUACAAAAUUAGAUCUUCGUAGCGGUUAUCAUCAGAUCCGAAUCAGACCGGGUGACGAGUGGAAAACAGCCUUUAAAACGCGAGAAGGAUUGUUUGAGUGGCUUGUAAUGCCUUUUGGGUUAUCGAACGCUCCAAGUACGUUCAUGCGAGUGAUGAAUGAAGCUUUGCGGCCAUUUAUUGGACGUUUUGUAGUUGUUUAUUUCGAUGAUAUACUCAUCUUUAGUGCAUCUCUGACCGAACAUCUCACUCACCUACGUGACGUUUUACUUGUGUUGCGACGAGAGAAGUUGUUUGCUGCUACAAAAAAGUGUGUGUUUGGUGUUGAACAAGUGCUUUUUUUGGGCUACAUUAUCUCUUCACGAGGCUUAGAAGCGGAUCCAACAAAGAUUUCAGCUAUACAAUCAUGGCCUACUCCUCGGACAGUGACUGAUGUGCGUAGUUUCCAUGGGCUAGCUUUAUCACUUUAGCAGCAUCAUGGCACCGGUAACGGACUGUAUGAAGUCAGACUCUUUUUGUUGGACCAAGGAAGCAGAGAUGGCGUUUCAAGAAAUCAAAACAAAGCUAACCUCUGCCCCGGUUCUUAUCCUUCCCGAUUUCAAUAUUGCUUUUGAAUUACACUGUGAUGCGUCUAAAGCAGGAAUCGGAGCAGUCUUAAGUCAAUCAAGUCGUCCAGUUGCUUUUUUUAGUGAAAAAAUUGCAGGAUCUCGUGAACGGUAUAGUACUUACGAUGUCGAGCUUUAUGCCGUCGUACAAGCUGUUAAGCAUUGGCGUCACUACCUCUUUCAUCGCGAAUUUGUUCUCUACACCGAUCAUGACGCUCUUAAACACAUGGGCUCUCAAGAUAAAGUCUCCGCAAGACAUGCUUCUUGGUUUGCAUAUUUACAACAAUUCUCUUUUGUUAUUAAGCAUACUGCUGGUACACUUAACAAGGUUGCUGAUGCGUUGAGUAGAAGACAUGUUCUGUUAACAACCUUACACGUCUCCGUCCCUGGACUUGUACCCAACUGAUCCAUUUUUUGGCAAAAUUUGGAGAGAUACGGAGCUGGGAAUCGGUACUGUUUAUGUGAUUUAUGAUGGCUUUUUGUUUCGUGGUGCUCAAUUAUGCAUUCCUGAGUGUAGUUUGAGGCUACAUCUAAUUCGUGAGCUUCAUGGUGAAGGCCACAUCGGAAGAGAUCGUACGUUGAAAUUGGUUAGAUCUUCUUACUUUUGGCCCACGUUACGCCGAGAUGUAGAACGGUUUAUUGUGCGUUGUGGAAUUUGUCAAGCAGCUAAGGGGAAAGCAACCAAUUCUGGUUUAUAUCUUCCUCUCCCAAUUCCCACACAGCCGUGGACAGACGUGAGUAUGGAUUUUGUGCUUGGUUUACCUAGAACGCAAAAAGGUAAUGACUCGAUCUUUGUCGUCGUUGAUCGUUUCUCCAAGAUGGUGCAUUUUAUUCCUUGUAAGAAGACGACAGAUGCAAUGCAAGUAGCUGUUUUGUUUUUUCGCGAGGUUUAUAAGCUUCACGGCUUGCCUUUGUCUAUUGUUUCGGAUCGAGACUCGCGCUUUUUGAGUCACUUUUGGCGAUCUCUUUGGCGACUUUUGCGCACAAAACUAGACAUGAGUUCAGCCUAUCACCCCCAAACGGAUGGCCAAACUGAAGUUACUAACAGAGCUUUAGGCGAUUUGUUGAGAUGCUUAGUUGGAGAUCAUAUCAAAUCAUGGGAUUUGGUACUUUGUCAGGCUGAAUUUGCUCAUAACCGAGCUGUUAACCGUAGUACAGGUUUUAGUCCUUUUCAAGUGGUUUGUGGCUAUUUACCUCGUUGUCCUGCGGAUCUAGCUAUUAGUCCAGAUCGUACCCGUUUUCAUGGUCGAGCUUGUGAUUUUGUCGAAGAAUUUGCUGCAAUUCAUGAUCAAGUUCAUUCUAAUUUGGAAACAGCCACAACAAAGUAUAAAUCUGCAGUUGAUUUGCAUCGACGUGACGUUCAAUUCAAGGUUGGAGAUCUAGUGUGGGCUGUGCUAACCAAGGAUCGUUUCAAGGCAGGAACUUACAACAAGCUCAAAGCAAGAAAGAUCGGCCCUCUUGAGAUAUUGGAGAAGAUUAAUAACAAUGCAUAUCGCCUCAAGCUUCCUCCACACAUGAACACAGCCGACGUCUUUAAUGUUAAGCAUUUGGUCCCAUUUGUAAGAAGACGACAUGCUUCUUGGUUUGCAUAUUUACAACAAUUCUCUUUUGUUAUUAAGCAUACUGCUGGUACACUUAACAAGGUUGCUGAUGCGUUGUAUCGUUUUAGAAGUUUUCCUUUAUGUUUGAAUUUUUCUUUUAUGUUUAAUUUCUAUUUCUUUGAGCUCUGCAAUUAGGUCUUAGAGUGUUUCUUAUGACGGUUUAUUGACACCUAUAUAAAGCUUUGUAAUCUCUCUUAAGAGAGUUGGUUUU
rnacentral:lncRNA from 1 species